rnacentral:lncRNA from 1 species
AGAUUCUUUCUACAGGCUCUCCGAGUUCAUUUAAAAUCUUAAGACAAUUCUUGAAAGGCUCCGUUUAUCUCUUAGAAGCUCACUUUCUUUCAGCGGUGUUCUACAUCAAGCGUUGGAGACAACUCGGUGUCCAUCUUUUUGGAAUCUGACUGAGCUCUGGUGCCUCAAGUCCCUGAUGACAGUGGCCUCUGACCCGUGGCUCACCCAAAGCCCUCGCGUCGCGGGGUGAGCACGUUUUCGCUCAUUAGUCCAUCCUUGAGGUCUCACAGGACAUUUUAUUGAAAGUACGAGGAUUGGACAGCAAGAGAAAGGGAAGCGAAUGGUUAUUGAGGCCAUUGUUGUGGUGGGCAUUAGCCCACUCGAGGACGUCUGCGCUUGCUCCAUCCUCACCUCAGCCUUUGAGAUGGGGAAACCAAGGCUCAGAAAGUUUACGUGACUUCAUCAGGCAACUAACAAAGACUAAAUGAU